CAGAUCUCCUAGGGAACUACAGCUCCCGGCAUGCUUGGCUUCGUUGGGCACUCCGAGUUGAGAGGUUUUGGAUGGAUGGAGUGCAACCUUAACUGCCUCGAGAUGUAGUUUUUGUUUGGUAAUGGAAAUAAGUUGGUAUAAAUCACAGAAGUUCGAGAUGCAAAAGACCUGUUAGGUCAUGUACUCAUCCCCCUUAACCACUGCAGGAUUCUUCCCUAUGAGCUCUACCGAGAUGCACCAGCUUCUUCCAUCUCACUAGCAGAACUGGGGAAAUCUAUUUGCAUGCAGGGCCGGCUCCAGGCACCAGCAUCCCAAGCAGGUGCUUGGGGCGGCAAUCUGCAAGGGGCAGCAGUCCAUGUGUUUUUGCCCCCAAGCAGCGCGCUGAAUUGCCGCCGCGGACGGCGGGCGCAGUCCAUGUGCCUUUAGGGCAGCACGUGCGUUUCCGCAGUGGCGACAGCUUUUAUGUUCAGCUGUCCGGCUAAAGACAGAAGCUGCCUCCGAAUUGCCACUGCGGCGGAAAUGCGCAUGCCGCCUAACGGCACAUGGACAGCCCCCGCCGUCCACGGCCACAAUUCGGCGCGCUGCUUGUGGCGGCAAAAACAGUAGAGCUGGUCCUGUUUGCAUGCCAAGAGCAGCACGGACUGGGCACAAGAAUUCUGCAUCUACAAUGGUUAGCUGUGUGACAGAGUGGUUGCCAUUAAUAAAGAAAAAUGGAAUGAAGAGGAUGUGCAGUGUACAUUGUGUUGUGUACAUUAUUCUUCAGUUUACUGUGUGAGAAGUUUGAGUUUACAAAGGGAGUAAAAACUCUGCAUUAAUCUUGCUAUCUACUAAAUUUAUUAAGUUUUGGAAAGUGUGUCAGUAUCUCAUUUGUCUAAAUUGAAAAAUGCAGUGAUAGGCAUGUUGCAGUCAAA